rnacentral:rRNA from 1 species
UACGUAGGGCGCAAGCGUUAUCCGGAAUUAUUGGGCGUAAAGAGCUCGUAGGCGGUUUGUCGCGUCUGCUGUGAAAAUCCAGGGCUUAACCCUGGACCUGCAGUGGGUACGGGCAGACUGGAGUGCGGUAGGGGAGAUCGGAAUUCCUGGUGUAGCGGUGAAAUGCGCAGAUAUCAGGAGGAACACCGGUGGCGAAGGCGGAUCUCUGGGCCGUAACUGACGCUGAGGAGCGAAAGCAUGGGGAGCGAACAGG